GCCCCUAUAGUAUAAUGGUUAGUACACGUCUCUCGUAAGAACGUCGAUUACUUUAAGCAUCGCCUUGUUCGAAGAUGAGAUGGUCGUUCGAUUCGGCCUGGGGGCA